GGAGUUUGGGGAGAUUCUUGUUGCUGUAACGGGAUCACAGAGCACGAGUGGCUGGUUGAGUAUCUUCAGGGCUAUGGGAUCUGGACCCGAGAGAUGUGAACUUAGAGUCAUGGCUUUGGAUUCAAGAGAAAAGGGGCUGAGACUAGAGAUGCCCAGAGACGCACUGUCACCCUACAGCUCCAGUACUGCAGCACCCAAAAGUCUCACUCAGGUCUGGGCCUCAUUGUGUUGGGCGCUGCAUGGAAAAUCGGAGAGAAACAGAUGUCUGGAGAUGGAUAGAUGAGCAUCUCUGGCAUACAGAGGAGAGAUGGAGAGAGGUGUGGGGGGGGGCAUAUGGAGGACAGAUGGUGAUGCUGCAGGCUGACAGCCGGCACCAAGCAGAACCUGGCCACAGAGCAGCACUACAGCCAUGGCUACAGCAGGUGUGCUAUAUGCCUGAGCUGCUCAGGGACGAAAAAGCAUGUGGGCUCCUGGCUGCUGAACAACCUGCCCCACAUCUCACCCUCUCCUGUUCCCAGAGUAGUCUGCUCACAACAGAAACCAAGACCAGCCCCCAACUGGCCUGGCGCCCACUGCCCCUAAUGUGGAAAGCCUGAUGUCUGGUGGGGGAAACAUCCCAGCAUCUCAGCUGUAGUGUCAGGACUUACUAUUACAAACGUCUCUCUGUCCCAGUUUCCAACCUGUUGCGGUUACUGACACCUACAUGGCAAGUUUUUGCUGUCCUGCUGCAAUAUGCUACCCCCACAAUUCAGCGGGCCUGGGUCUAGGAGUAGCGAUUUGUGACAGAUGGGGUAGGUCUUGUUGCAAUGUACUACUUCUGGGAAAUCUCUAUUUGAAAUUGGGACACUCAUGAAAUUAGUUUUCUAACUGAAUACAUUUUUCUAAAUUAGAAAACAUUUGUGUUAUUGAUAUCCAAAUUUAAUAUAGAGAUUUCAUGGAGUAGGAAACUGACAGGGCAGACACCAUCCGUCACCCAUUGCUACUCCUGGACCAGGGCUGAGGCAACCAAGGAACUCAGGCACCAUUGAAGUUAUAUGAUCACAAAUAAUAGCCUGACAUUAAAAAACAAAAAAAAAAAGUAUUAAAAUCUGUAAUUUACUAUGUCACAAUAAAAACAUAGGAAUGUUGUUAUAAUAAUGAAACUAAUGCUUUUGAAAAGUCAGUAAAAGGAAUUAAACUACAUUUGCAGGAAA